rnacentral:rRNA from 1 species
CAGCAGGCGCGAAACCUUAGCAAUGUGCGAAAGCACGACUGGGUCAGUCCGAGUGAUUCCUGAUAAAGGAGUCUUUUGCUUGUCCUAAAAGCACAGGUGAAUAAGGGGUGGGCAAGUCUGGUGUCAGCCGCCGCGGUAAUACCAGCACCUCGAGUGGUCAGGACGUUUAUUGGGCCUAAAGCAUCCGUAGCCGGCUCUGCAAGUCUUCGGUUAAAUCCACCUGCUCAACAGAUGGGCUGCUGGAGAUACUACAGAGCUAGGGAGUGGGAGAGGCAGACGGUAUUCAGUGGGUAGGGGUAAAAUCCUCUGAUCCAUUGAGGACCACCAGUGGCGAAGGCGGUCUGCCAGAACACGUUCGACGGUGAGGGAUGAAAGCUGGGGGAGCAAACCGGAUUAGAUACCCGGGUAGUCCCAGCUGUAAACGAUGCAAACUCGGUGAUGCAUUGGCUUAUGGCCAAUGCAGUGCCGCAGGGAAGCCGUUAAGUUUGCCGCCUGGGAAGUACGGACGCAAGUCUGAAACUUAAAGGAAUUGGCGGGGGAGCAC